UCUAAAAAUAAAGAUGUUCUCCUGGUUGGCUGUCCUUGGCAAGUGUUGAACGACUGACAGUUUGAUCAAGAGGGGUUGGCCACACAACCCAGUGUGCUCGCUAUGCAGCACCGUGCAGGAGACUGGCAUUCAUCUGUUUUUUUUUCGCGAAUAUGCAAAGCUUGCGUAUCAAUUCAUUGAUAGGUAGAAGAGAAGCAACAGUGACAUACAUACCGAAAAAGGCUUCCGCCCCACUUUAUAAAUAAAGCAAACUGCCAAAGACAGAAUCCAGUACACACAAGAAACACCACACCACACGACACAAAGUACGGAAGGAAGUACUGAGAGGUUCUGCUGAGAGCACAGCUCAACAAGCCCAAAAGGAACAACAAAAUACAAGCCGCAGUCCCAGAGCAGGGGCAGCUAAUCUGGCUCGGGAGAAGGUGGUGGCAGCGGUGACGUCAGGCGGAGCGCGAUGUAGCGAAGACCAGCGGAGAUGGAGCGAUGAUCGCGUGCUCCGGGCGACGGCUAAGGGGCUUCCAAAGCUGCAGGAAACCACAAAGUUUGUAUAGGGCAUCCGUAGACCGCCGAAGAGGCGUAUGUUCAAUCACAAGCUUGUUGCGGAUCGUCCACAACGUCCAUGAGAGAACUCCGACCCCAAGCCACCUAAUGUGACGGGAGCCCAUAGGAGAGGUUUGUAAUUCCGCGAACAUAUCGGGGAAAUUGAUGUGGCACCACCCACCACCCAUCACUUCCCGGAAACAACUCCAGAGGAAUUGGGCCGUCACACAUGAGAAGAAUAUAUGGUUCGGGCUCUCCAUGGUGUCGCAGAGCGGACAUAGGCCAUCACUGGGGCCAUUGCGUUUGAGUACAUAGAUGAGAGAAUGGAGGAGCACAACACAAGGUGUGGGAUGAGAAGAGAGGGAUACAACACGGCACAAACUCUCUAAGCUCGAACUCUAGCCGAGAAGGCAAAGAGCAAGAUACAAGGCAUCUAGACCACGUCACGACCAAUGGUAGGCACCAACGUCGCACGGCCACGACACCAGGAACACCAGGACUUACCGGAUCAAUGUACCUCCCACCUCAAGUGCCUAGAGAAUUGACAAGUGGGAUGCACGACCUGGUCGGACCAGAGGGAGAAGCCAUGGAGAGAGCGCCACCGAUCGCGUACAUUGCGUCCCAGAUGCCCAUGCCACAAGGAACAACCCGAACCACCAAAGCGUCCAAGAUCUCGAAUCCAACACCGAACAUACCACGAGUAACCAAGACGAUGCCUUCAUGAAGGGUACGACGCCGAGAUGCCCCCGCUGUCCGGUCUGGCGAACCAGGCCUAGGGUUUCCCCUGAUACUUGAAAAGGGGCAUGGAGAAGAGGCCAUGGCAGCGUCUCCAAGAAGGGGUGGGCACCCGCAGGUGUCGCCACCGCCAGCAUCGGCAACCCGAGCAAGGAUUUCGCCCCGGCCAAAGUCCGAACAAUCAUCUGUUAGCCACCUGCUCUUUCACCACCUUGGUAUCGAUCCUGAUGCUUGACAACCUACACCUGCCGCACCACUUAUGCCCUUCACCGGACGUCACCAGCUGGUGGACGUCAUCCUAUUUGCACUUGCCAGGCCAGCACACCAAGGCUUGGUCCUCCGUUGUGCAACUUGUUUGGUGGUACAUCUGGAAAGAGAGAAACAAAUGUAUCUUCCGGCACAUGGCUGCUACCCCCAAGGCUGUAAUGUCGUGCAUCGCCAAUGAAGCUUCUCUGUGGUCGGCCGCUUGUAAAUCGAAGAUUGCUGGGCUGAUCAACAGACCAGGGGAACCUGACUAAUUAACUGAACUACCAACCUUUUGCUGUUUGCAUGGCCAUUUGUUGACUGACCCAUGCGAUGGCCACUCCGGCCAUUCAGUUGGGUCUAGUCCGCUGAGGUCCAUGAGCGUGCUGUAAUUUUCUUUCUUUGGCUCGGUAUCACCGACUGUAAUUCUUCUCUCUUAUUGAAAUGAAAGCUGCCCUGACGGCAUUUCAGUCAAAAUAAUAAUUCUUUACAGAACUUGUAGAAAAGAACUAGACAUAGCACCUCUGACUUCCAUUGAGGAAGAUGUGAGAAACAGAUGGCACAACUGCACAAGCAAAACUCACAGGGCCUCUUUCGUGUGGUUUCUUGAACACAUGAAUAGAUAAAACACAGGGAUAUAGUGCCAUACCGUCUUUGCUACUACAUGAUUGCUUGGAUGUUUAAUUUUGCACAUGAAAAUAUAGGAUUCUUUACAAGAAGUUAAAGUGGAUGGAAAUUUUCUUAUGAAAUUUAGUACUAAUGAGUCCUUAUAGAAAAUCCUAUGGAUUCAAUCCUACAAAUCAACAACGCUCAUGGGAAACCUCCAAACUUCCUUUAGAAAUCCUGUGAGGGGGGGCGGUUGGAAAGAACAACUAUGUAAACAAGAGGAAAGGGGGACCUCAGGGCCGAAGCAGGUAUACAGGAGGAUAGAUAUACCACCGGCUAGUACUGAAGAGCAAGCAAAAGAGAAUGAAGCUACUAAUAAUGUCAUGGUGGUUUUUACUGCUAGUUGUGACAAGCCGGGUGGAGGUACGGGAGGGGAGAUAUAUGGAGAUGGAGAGAGGGCGCAAAAAAAGAAGAAACCUACUCCUACUAAUUCCUAAAAUUCUGAAAGUUCAGCUGAUGGAACUGCCGGAGGCAUGGGAACCGCGAGUCAGUUCGCAAGCUUAGCAAUGUGGUGAAACAAGAAAGCCCCUCUUUGCUCCUCUUUGCUCUUCGUGAUGGAGACGAAGAUCAAGAAGUAAGGAGUGGAGAAUCUGCAGAACGAUUUAGGUUUUGCAGGUUGUUUUGCCGUGGAUAGCAACGGACUCAGUGGAGGGAUUGUUCUUUUUUGGUUGCAUGAGGUUGUGGUUGAUCUGAAGAAUUUCAGUUCGGGCCAUAUUGACACUAUGAUGCGGAGACAAAGCGAACAAUCUAUUGAAUGAGAAUUUACAGGUUUCUAUGGAGCUCCUCGGGCUGAGAAUAGAUAUCAUAGCCGGAGAUUCUUGAAAACGCUAUAUGGUACUCGUAUUAAACAUGAUGGAUUUGUAUGGGUGAUUUUAAUGAAACACUCUAUGGCAGCGAACAUUUUUCUUUAUCUGCUAGACACGAAUGGCAAAUGCGUGCAUUCGAGGAGGUGACUGAUGAAUGUCAUUCCAAGAUCCGGGUUACUCCGGCUUGCCAUAUAGUACAUGGGAUAAUCGGCAGCGGGGCAAUUCAAAUGUCAAAGCUCGGCUGGGCAGAGCGUUUGGUAAUGCAGCGUUCUUGGCCCGUUUUGCACGCGCGCGCGCGCACGCACGCACCUUUCAGAUACGAGAACGUGUGGCAAACAAACGUCGAUGUGAAUAUUUGAUUGCUGAAAAUUGGCGCAAGGGAUCUGGUGAUAAUGGUCUACAGGGUGUUGCUCAAGCCGUGUCAGACCUCCAAGCCACACUGAAUGCAUGGGGCGCUCGAGAGUUUGGUAGUCUGACCCGCACUGCUCGGAAACUCCGCCAAAAAGUAGAGAAAAUGCGUGGCAAAUCUGUGGCUCAUGGGCCAUCGGACAAGAAGAAGUCCAUCAUGGAUAAACUUCGGAAAACAACCUAUAAUAGCCGUGUGAUCAGUCCAAAAACAUUUUACACAAAUUCACACGUUCUAAAAGAUUAAAAUUUCAUGAAUUUUCCAAGUGGCAAUUACAAAUUUUCAAAUUUUUUGUCAUGAUGUAUGAGACAAACAUUUUAUAAAUUUGCCAUGUGAUCAAUCCAAUUUUUUUUCAUAAAUCCAACAUGUUCUAGAAAGCAAGUAUUCAUAAAAUUUCCGCUUCAUUAUCGCAAUUUUUUUAUUUUUGCCAUGAUGUAGUAAACAAAUUUGCCAUCAUUUCUAGGGAACAUUUUUUUUGUCUAGAACUCGCGAUGUGUCCAGUACAGACAACAAGUUGCUAGCCUAAAAAAAUGCCACACUUUUUUCUUGAACUUGCAAUGUGUCCAAUACAAACCACAAAGUUGUUAUCCUAAAAAAUGUCACAUAAAUUUGCCAUGCCAACACCAAUAUGAAGAAGAAAAAAUUGCCAAAGUAGGAGGCACGACAUAUAGCGGAGCAGGAGCUCGUAUUCGAGCUGGAGAUGCGGCCAGGCGAGAUCGAGGUAGGGCUCCUCCUCCUCAGGGGUGGCAUUUGGGUCAAUGGAGGCAAUAGACUCGUGCAGCUCGAGGGGGAGGGGCAGAAUAUGUUGGUGGAGAUGGCGGCAACUAGGGUCUCCUGGACGUUGUUUAGGAGGUGCGUGGGUGCAUUGUUGGGGGCCUACACGUAGUCGACGAGCUCGAGGAGCGCCUGGCGCUUGGCCUCCCUCUUGUGGGGGGUGCCUGAGGGAGUCAGAGAAAUCGAAGAGCGCGGUGAUGAGGCACAACUUGCGGAGGAGGAGGCAAAAGGGCAGUCGGCAACUGCGACGUCGCGGAGGAGUAGGAGCAGCUCGAGGAGCAGCAGCAACACGCUGGACGCGGCGGCGGCAUGAAGGCGGAGAGAAAUGUGCAACGAGGUCAUCACAACCUUGCGCCAUGGCGUGCAGAUACAUCUAUCAUAGUGGGGGCCAAGAAAUGACGCGUGGCACGCUGGACAUCCCCUGAGAUCGCUGCUAGAUAUCAACCCCCGUGUGGAGAAAGGUCGGCCCCUCGGUUCUCUAGAGCAUGGUUGUGGAGGUGGCGACACGGAGGAGAUGUCCUUGCGAUGAAGAUGGCAGCGCCAGAGGAGCCGACCUUGCGGAGGAGGUGAACUUUGCAACAUCGGAUCUGAGAGGAGGUAUUUGGGUGAGCAGGGAGAGAGGAAAUGGGGACAACGUGUCACAUGGGGGAAGAGAGCAAGAUGAUGAUGCGUUUGCUCGGUUUCCAUCAGCAACGAACCAUAGUGUGAUGCCGAUGUGUCAACCAUACAUGCGCCAAGAUUUAAUUGUCAGAUCCAACGUGACAGUGUUCACAACGGACCUCACCCAUACAUUCUUGAUCAUGUCUGCAAAGUCUUCCUGUACAACCAUCUCAAUUCAAACAUGAAAGAACAGCGAGAAGAUGGACUCAUAGAGUUAGAAUUAAGAAUGAUGGACGCAUGAUCCGAUAGUGCCCCGAUAUGCUCUAGGGCCCCCAUGGUUACCAAAGUAAAUUUUAGCUCCCAUUCGUUGUUCAUGAGUACUAUAUCAAGCUUCUCAUAUAUUGGCACACAACAGUUAUUCACACAAGUGAAUUGCCGCCCCGCAUACCGACUUCUCAAAUAUUCAAAUUGUCAAUGAGAAAAUUGAAUAUGAAAGGCCAGUAAGUGUUAGAGCGAUUAUUAUUUUUCUUUUCCUCGUACCUAAGCAUCUCUAACUGUAAGUAUCAAAAUCCGGUCUCCAAACGCCCGCGGAUGCGCCCGAGCGCGUCCGUGGGCACUGAACGGGUAGCACACAAUAAUUGUCCGCUGCAACCAUGGACAUCAAACUUCAUACCUCAAAUGCAUACCAGCCACGCAGACUAAAGACCUACAUAUUAUGUACAUAUCUAAACUACGUACUGAUCGUCGGAUAUGUCAAUGAUCUCCGUGCCAGGCGCCGGGUAGAUGAACGUGUGCGGCAGCUCCAUCAUGUACGAAGGCUCCGGCGCUUCGUCAUCCGAACUAGGGCGAAGAUCUCAUCAAUCUUCGUCCUUUGCGGCCGGAUGAAGCGCCGGUUGGCCUCCACAUAGGCCUCAUCCUGGAUGGGUUUGAGGAUGGCGGACUGCUCCGCCAUCUCCUCCGCAUGCGCGACCUCGUACUUUGCCACGAUGUCCUCCAUAGUGAAGCCCGCACCCAGCUCUAUUUCCUCCUCUGGCUCGACUGCCUCCUCCCCCAUGGGUUGGGGCUUCUCCGCCAAAGUGAGCAUGUCGUAGGUGGUGAUCAGGCACCUCGACAUGGUAAGCGGCAAACGGAUUGGAAGUCGCGGUGACAGAGGCGGAGAGGAGAAAGGGGAAGAAAUGGGGCGUGCUAGGGUUCGGUUGCCGCUGUCUGGCUUAAAUACCCGUUCUUCCUCCCUCGGGCGGCACGCCGGAGCAGUGCCAUGCAACGCGGAGCGGAGGAGGCACCCGUCGGACUAGUGGUCUAUCCGUGUCCCUUCAUGGACCGUAUCGGUCAGUCCGUCGUGGCGGGCGCAUCCGGGUGUCCUCAUAUCUGCCCAGAUAUGGGCCGGAUAUGGGGAGCGCCGGUCAGUCCGGGUGUGGGCCGGCUAUGGGAAGAUUGGUUGGGUGGUGUUUUCCGUCUCGACACUAACCGAGCUACCCGCCUGGGUGUUUCGGGCAGGUAUGGGGCUCUGGUUGUAGAUGCUCUUAAAUUCCUUCUAAUAAGCAUUAGAUGUGGGUUAUCCUUAGCCAAGUUCACUAAUUCCCAAAGAAAAGCAUAUUCAUGCUCAUCAUGGACGGCCCCAUAGAAUGCCAUCAGACUCCAUGUAAAAUUAUCGGUUCUAUUUCAAAGAUGAAAUAUAAAAUUCUUCUGUUGAAAAAGCUAACAAGUCCAUGGUUGUGAUUUGAAUCCCAAGUAAGAUUCCUCUAGACAUUCCAUGUGCUGCUAGACUAUGUCACGUGUAGUCAAAAUCACAUGUUAAGUGAUCUAAGACAUUCGUAAGGAAGUCACAUUUACUGGCCUCGAGAAUCGCCAUGAAAUUCAAUCCAUGUUGUCGCACACAAUCACUGACGCGUUUAUGUCGUCAAGUCUGAAAGACCUUUGCUAUUCCAGAACACGCCAUUCAUGUGGAAAUUCGGGUACGGUGGCUACCUUCUCCUUCUUGGGUGAUUUUCUGUUUUCUAAGGAAUGUGAUUUAGAAUUUCAUAAAGACGAUGUGAAGUCACAAAACAUGAACUAAGGUAUGGCAUCAUCCAAAUCCAAUCUUGGCAACUGCUCCAACCAAGUGGGGAGGAGGCAGACCAUCAUUGUACCAUCAUUUUUCUCCUCAGUUGGAAGGUUAGGAGAGGUACUCAGAUAUUUUGGAGAAACUUUUUAAGCGGUCGAUCUCCAUGUGUUUGAGCACUAGAACCGAUAGACUCACCUCGUUAAGCUAGAAGAAAUAUGAGUAUUUGAGCAAGCAAGAAAGGAUUCCGCAGAUACCUGAAGUGAAGUUCAAUUACGCGGAGCCUCGCGACACAUCUCCUUGUGCAUAGCAUGCUCAUCGGCCGGAGAAUACCUCAGAGAUGAUGGAUUGGCAAGUACAGCAGUCGUAGACGACGAAGUCGAUGCUGCAGGAGGGGCAUGUGGCGUUGACGGAACAACCCCUAGUGACGUCGACGAGGUCCCUAACCCGAACUGCAUGGCCCCACCGACUUAUAAGUUCAAGGUUAUGGACCAUACUAUUUGGCUGCCAUCAGCUCGCAGCUAACCUCACGCAAACAUUUUGUUCGCUAUGGACAGGUGAAACAAGCAAACAAAAGAUCCUCCCCUCGUACAUUCGUUGUAGCGGUUCCCAGCGGGACCUUAUCUGGCCCAAAAACGUCUUAACGGGCCGUAGAAAAAACAAACUUCAUCCUGAGUCAUUUGGAUGUUUCUACAUGACAAAUUGCUGUGCUCAACUAAAAAGGUCAUAAUUAAACCUGCCACCUCUCUAGAUAGAAAAUGCCAUAAAAAAUACAUAAAUUUACAAAUUUAUAGAGUGCCAUGCUCUGAAAAAGUGCAAAUUGCCAUGCUACUUUAUAAAACUGUCCUUUAGUUAAAAGGAUUUUAUCUCCAAGUCCCACUAAAAAUUGCAUGCCAUUAAAAACAAAAUGCCAUCAUCUCAAUAACAAAAAUUUCAUCCUAUUAUUAAUAAAAAUGGCAUGCGCUUAGUUAUAGAACUGUGAUGCCAUUGAAAUAAAAAAUGUCAUCCUCUUAAUAAUAAAUUGACAUCCAUAUUAUUAAUAAAAAUGGCAUAUUAUUAAUAAUAAAACUGCCAUGUACAAAAACAAAGUUGACUUAUGAACAUUAGAAAAAAAGGUUUAAAUUUGCCACAUGACAUACUCCCUCCGUCCCAUAAUAUAAGAGCGUUUUUUGAAACGCUCUUGUAUUAUGGGAUGGAGGGAGUAGUUUCAAAAAAUUAUAAAAACUGUCAUAUUAAAUUCUUUUAAAAAUUCCAUGUACCUAAGCAAAACAGAACAUAAAGAGCUAUGCUCUCCCAGGUAGAGACUCGCGUACCUAGCCAACGUGGUCUACGGGAAGUGUUUUGAUUAGUAUCAGGUUCGCUAGCUUUUAUAUUCAUAAUAAUGUAUUAUUCACGGAAAAGGCUUGUGUCGCACAAUGCUAAAGAGACGUAACACAAUUGCUCAAAAGGGCAAGAUACGAAACUUGUGCAUAACUUAUUCCUGUCAGUAAAGUACUAGUUUUUUAGUUAGUAGUGUGCAAUACUGUUUAAGAAAUGCAUGCAAUCUGAGACUUCAGAAAACGUAUACUUGAGUCAAACUACACUAGAAUAGUCAGUGAAAAACUACACUGAAUUAUAAAGGUCUUUUCCUUGAAAGAAUAGGUUGAGAAACAAAACGUGUCGACUUUCUAUUCCAAGUAUGCUACAUGUUAAUAAAUCUAACGUGUCUUCUGACUUGCGUGAUGAUUCGUGCAACGAAUCCGACGGGAGAGAGCGCGUUCGUCAGGAUUGGCCUCCCUCGUGAAUGUUCGCCAGUUGCUUUUCCGAUGGCUAUUAGGCGGAACGUUUGCCAGUUAGCUUUUCCGAAGGUUAUUGGGCGGAAAUCGCUUUCGGUGUCGAACUCGGACCGCAUCCCUUCACCUCUUCUUUUCUUUCCCGACAGCUCCAGGUCCCUUCAUGGCUGUUGUAAUCUGCAAAUGAAUUAUGUGUCCUUCAAAUCGGGAAGACCUCCAAGCCGAAAGCCAAUCAUGAAGGAUCUCUCCGUCCCAAACCAAUCAUGUACAGUACUAGACAUAAAAACGACGCGUUAACCGGGGACUGCUUCCUUUCUCCAUCUUACAGGUACUAGCCCACAACAUUCACUAACAAACAACAUAUCACUCUCACAGUGACUUUUGAGGAGACGUCCAAGCUUCCAAUUCGCGUGGAGCACGAUGAUUACGAUGCGAAUUAACGCAUGUUCAGAAUAAAUCAAACAGAUGUAAAGUCAAGGCUGAGAAACAAUAAUGCACUCCUGCUUGAUUAAACAAACUGAUAUGAAGCAAGGAAGUCAGUGGGGGGAGCUCUAGCCUAUACUCAUGACAAAACAGAAGCAGGAGCAAGCUGCCACCCCUAGUCCCAGCCCCGCUCUCUUCUCCCUCCACCCUACACUUUUCUUCCUAUUCUCGUCGCUAGAUUCCAACUUCCAGUUCACCCCCGCCGCGAACAAGAGGCAACCGGCGACGACGAAGGCAGAGGAGGACGAACCUUCGCACUCGCAGGGCGAUGACCGGAGGCUGCCGGCCAUGGAUCAUGUCAGGAAGCGCCACCAGGAGAAGGGCUUCCUCUAUGACUGCUUCUUCAUGUUGUGCUGCUGCUUCUUCUGCCAUGAAGCCUGCGAGCACUGCCUCAAGCGCUUCUGCUGCUGCCGCAACAAGGACGAGUGACCCACCAACCGGUCCGGAAUCGGCGCUCAUCCGAAGAUAAACCUUGUGGAUUUGUGAUUGUAUAUUUUCAGUUUGGUUGCCAAUUUGCACCAUUUUAGUGCACUGGUGUAGUAAAGUCCGUGCGUGUACAUCUGGAAUUGGUCUUCCCCUGCAUCUGAACACUGUACACCAAGAGACCCAGAGUAAGAAAACUGUGGUAUUCUUUUUUUUAACCGUAAGGAAACUGUGGUAUUCAGCAGAUGCAUACAGACGUU